rnacentral:rRNA from 1 species
AUUGAACGCUGGCGGCAGGCCUAACACAUGCGAGUCGAGCGGCAGCGGAAAGUAGCUUGCUACUUUGCCGGCGAGCGGCGGACGGGUGAGUAAUGUCUGGGAAACUGCCUGAUGGAGGGGGAUAACUACUGGAAACGGUAGCUAAUACCGCAUAACGUCGCAAGACCAAAGAGGGGGACCUUCGGGCCUCUUGCCAUCAGAUGUGCCCAGAUGGGAUUAGCUAGUAGGUGGGGUAACGGCUCACCUAGGCGACGAUCCCCAGCUGGUCUGAGAGGAUGACCAGCCACACUGGAACUGAGACACGGUCCAGACUCCUACGGGAGGCAACAGUGGGGAAUAUUGCACAAUGGGCGCAAGCCUGAUGCAGCCAUGCCGCGUGUAUGAAGAAGGCCUUCGGGUUGUAAAGCACUUUCAGCGGGGAGGAAGGUGUUGAGGUUAAUAACCUCAGCAAUUGACGUUACCCGCAGAAGAAGCACCGGCUAACUCCGUGCCAGCCGCCGCAGUAACAC